GAUGAAGAACGCAGUGAAAUGCGAUAAGUAAUGUGAAUUGCAGAAUUCAGUGAAUCAUCGAAUCUUUGAACGCACAUUGCGCCCGCCAGUAUUCUGGCGGGCAUGCCUGUCCGAGCGUCAUUUCAACCAUCAAGCCCCGGGCUUGUGUUGGGGACCUGCGUCCGACGCAGGCCCUGAAAACCAGUGGCGGGCUCGCUGUCCACACCGAGCGUAGUAACUAACCUCGCUAUGGAGUGGCGCGGGCGCCUGCCGUAAAACCCCCAAUUUUUACAAGGUUGACCUCGGAUCAGGUAGGAAUACCCGCUGAACUUAAGCAUAUCAAUAAGCGGAGGA
rnacentral:misc_RNA from 1 species